AGUGAACGCUGGCGGUAGGCCUAACACAUGCAAGUCGAACGGCAGCACAGGAGAGCUUGCUCUCUGGGUGGCGAGUGGCGGACGGGUGAGGAAUACAUCGGAAUCUACUCUGUCGUGGGGGAUAACGUAGGGAAACUUACGCUAAUACCGCAUACGACCUACGGGUGGAAAGUGGGGGACCGGCAAGGCCUCACGCGAUUGAAUGAGCCGAUGUCGGAUUAGCUAGUUGGCGGGGUAAAGGCCCACCAAGGCGACGAUCCGUAGCUGGUCUGAGAGGAUGAUCAGCCACACUGGAACUGAGACACGGUCCAGACUCCUACGGGAGGCAGCAGUGGGGAAUAUUGGACAAUGGGCGCAAGCCUGAUCCAGCCAUACCGCGUGAGUGAAGAAGGCCCUCGGGUUGUAAAGCUCUUUUGUUGGGAAAGAAUACCUGUUGGUUAAUACCUGGCAGGGAUGACGGUACCCAAAGAAUAAGCACCGGCUAACUUCGUGCCAGCAG
rnacentral:rRNA from 1 species